rnacentral:rRNA from 1 species
UUCCGGUUGAUCCUGCCGGAGGCCACUGCUAUUGGGAUCCGACUAAGCCAUGCGAGUCGAGAGGGUUCGGCCCUCGGCAGACUGCUCAGUAACACGUGGAUAACCUAACCUUAGGUGGAAGAUAACCUCGGGAAACUGAGAAUAAUAUUCCAUAGAUCUAGGAUGCUGGAAUGCAUCUAGAUUGAAAGUUCCGACGCCUAAGGAUGGGUCUGCGGACUAUCAGGUUGUAGUCAGGGUAAAGACCUGACUAGCCUACGACGGAUAUGGGUUGUGAGAGCAAUAGCCCAGAGACGAUAUCUGAGACACGAUAUCGGGCCCUACGGGGCGCAGCAGGCGCGAAAUCUUCACAAUGUGCGAAAGCACGAUGAGGGGAUCCCAAGUGCUGGCACGUAAGUGUCAGCUGUUUCUUAGUCUAAAAAACUGAGAGAGUAAGGGCUGGGUAAGACGGGUGCCAGCCGCCGCGGUAAUACCUGCAGCUCAAGUGGUGGCCGCUAUUAUUGGGCCUAAAACGUCCGUAGCCUGUUUAGUAAAUGCUUGGGUAAAUUGUGUAGCUUAACUAUACGAAUACCGGGUAGACUGCUAAACUUGGGACCGGGAGAGGCUAGAGGUACUCCUGGGGUAGAGGUGAAAUUCUGUAAUCCUAGGGGGACCACCAGUGGCGAAGGCGUCUAGCUAGAACGGGUCUGACGGUGAGGGACGAAGCCCUGGGGCGCAAACCGGAUUAGAUACCCGGGUAGUCCAGGGUGUAAACGCUGCUUGCUUGAUGUUAGUUGGGCUCCGAGCCCAACUAGUGUCGGAGAGAAGUUGUUAAGCAAGCUGCCUGGGAAGUACGGUCGCAAGACUGAAACUUAAAGGAAUUGGCGGGGGAGCACAGCAACGGGUGGAGCGUGCGGUUUAAUUGGAUUCAACGCCGGG